CUGUAGCUUUAGUGACAGGCAGGAUUAAUGGCACAGAUUAUCCGUGACUGGUGGCUAAAAAGGUGAAAGAAAGGCUGAGUGCAUCUAAUGGGCUGGGUCACUGCUACAGGAAGCAGUACAUGGCUAUGUAAAAAAGCUGGAUGUGACAUGACUACAUCAUCUCCCACUUUCUUCCUUGGGCUGUUUUGCCCUUUCCAGUCAGGUCUAGCGUAUCCUACUCAAUAGCCCUAUUGAUUUUUUUUUUUAUUAUUUUUUUCUUUUCUGGUGUAAUAACUUGCACAGUAAGGCACAACGCAGCCUGAACAGGGGUCUGUGUGACCUGAGUAGGGCAUCACACACAGCCCUGCCUGUGAAUGGAGAACGUGUGCAGUGGGCUGAGUGGUGAUGGCAAGUGGUGAGGCAGGGGGAGAAGGGACACUAGGGAAAUGGAAGACUGGAGAAAGGAAAUCGAAGAAAGAUGUGUGUGUCAGCUGAACUGCUGAAGCCAAACCAAGCACUAAGCUGGGCAAUGGGCCAGCACAUGGCUUAUCCAUGCCUCCGUGUCAGUAUUAGAGUAUUUUUGCAGAGAAAAGACCAAACUGUCAGGUGAAACUUCAUGUUAUCGGAGAUGAAGUUAGGCAAAGCACCAUAAUGCUGGAGAGUUCUGCAAAUUGUCCAGCAGCAAUUUCCGCUGCUGUGCAGGAUUAUUGAGGUAUCAUCUGGCCCAAUGGCUCAGUAAUGAGUAGAAGAGCUUUCAGUGGUGAAGAAGGACUUUGAACACCUUUCCUGUCCCCAUGAAAGAUGGACCAGUCUCAGAGGGGAGAGUGGGUGGGAGCUGCUCACGGUGUGUGGUCAUACCCUGACUGUGAGGACAGGUUACCCAGCACCCAUCAUUGCAACUUGAUUUCCCACAUCAGAAGAAUGAUGAACUUUCCUGUUUCGAUCUAUGCAGACUUGUCCUUCCUAAGUGCAUGCUGAGUGUGGGCUUAUUUCAUGUUUCUGCCUGGGACCCCAGAAUUUACCUAAUAUCUGCCAGUCCCCCUUAUCCUACUUUUUCCCUUCUGCCUCUUAAGCUCCUUUCCUGGCCUCCUAUCAGUCACCUGGUUGAGUGACAAGGACUCAAUUGCUAGUGCUAGGGAUUACCAAACAUCCUCUGUAAUACAGGCUUCACUGCACAGCUUCAGUCAAAUCUUGCCGAAAGCUAAUGCGAUAGUCUUCUCCUGGAAAUAACCAAUGGCUGGACGUUCAGAGAAGUGCCCGUUGCAGAUAAGCUACAGAGUGCCCAGGCUUGCUUGCUAUGAAUGUGGGUGGGUUGCAGAUUGAAGCCUGCCCAGCUGUUCCAGGACUGUUGCAGCUCCAGAUGGGCCAAAACCACCAAACUGCAGCGUUGCACAGCCUUGUCCUGCUGCUAGUGCCUGGACAGCCCCUGGCAGCACACAGCUCCCUUGCCCUGCAUCCAUAUUGCCAUGUUCCCAGUUCUUCCUGCUGUGCUGAGACCAACUCCAGCUUAGAGAGGUUACUCAAGAGAAUUUCACAGUCAGACAAGUAGAAAAGAGCUGUGCUGAAAAAGGAGUCCUUUCUAAGUUCAAACCCCCCUGAGCCUGAGGCCGAGUGCUACACCGAAAUGUUCAAUCCCGCAUUUGAAUAAGCUGAAUAAAUCCAGCCAUACUGCUAAACAUAUGCAGGAACAUUUUUUACAUUAAUGAACAUUGCCCUGCAGGAUUUGCAAUCCAGAUGUUACCGCUUUAUGUUAAUGAAAAAGGACCCUGAAGUAAAUUGACUAUAAGGCCUCCCUCCAUUUCAAGAGGGCUAACUUUGGCUUCUGUUCACCCAUCCUACCUGGUUGCACAAGGAAGCAAAUACGGCAGUUUGAGUCAGGACAGAGCAGGAAUUAUGGUGAUGGGUGACUCGAUAAAGAGGUAAAAGUUGCAAAUUCAGUAAAGGACCAAAGAAAGUUCCUGACUCAGGAAGGGUCAGGUCUAAAGGCACGUUAAGGCACUUGAGCUAAUUUCGGAUGUGUGGGCAAAUCACCCUCAUGGGUUGGCAGGUGGAAGAUGGACCCCUCAUAGAGACCAUCAGCCCUCCAGGAGGAACGAGGAGAGGCUGAAGCUUCAAGUACUCGAAUGUAUUAAGCUGAGACUGAGGAUGUUGCUACUUGGGGGAGUCAGAUUUUGGCUGUGGGGAGCACAGCUGACAGUUCAGUGCUGCUGUCUCACGGCACUGGGAGCAGCAAGGAGGUCAUGACUAAGGACCUGCUUCAUGGAGCAAUGCAAGAUGGAUUAAGCAGGGGAAGGACUGGUCAACUGUAAGAGCUCAUGGUGCUAGAAAUGAAAGAGAAAAUCAUAACUGCAAAUAACAGGUGAAAGCAGUUGAAAUUAAUUAGGACUGUAGCAUGAGGUGAAGUUGCAGAAAGCUGCAUACCAUGCUGUACAUAACUACUUGCUGAUUAUCACAAUCUCUUUGUUUUGUCCACAAUUCCUCGAGGCAAACUGUAGCCCCUUCGCUUGAGGAGUCAGAGGAACAAUCAGGUUUUGGCCUCGGAGAGAAAUCCUUGUCAACUUGAACAAGUAAAACAUCCAUGCUGCUUAUUCUAUGUUUUUCAUAUGCUUAUUGGCUGUUAGUUUAGCAUUUUACAAGUGAGGCCAAGAAGAGACGAUAUUAUUUUCUCUUUUCACAUUUUUUUCUAUGAAUUUAUUCUUCAUGUCCUUGCUGCAACUAAGUUUCCCCCCUAUUGUUCUUGGUAUUGGCAUUAUACAUAGAUAAAACAAUUUAAGAGUGUAUUUUUCCUAGUUAGGCAGAGCAGAGAUAUGAUAUACCAUAGGCACAUGUGUCAACAUGAUGCGCCUGCCUGUCUUUAUUUUCUCAGUUUGCUUGUGGUCCAUUUAAAAUUAGAUUACAACUGAUUGGUUCCUGCAUUCAAACUACUUUGCACGACACUCCAUCCACAGGCGUAUAAAACAAAACUGAGGUGACUGGAAAGCCUAAGGGAUCAAUUCCAAAUAUCACUGUGUAAUAAAAACUGUAUUUCCUUAAUUUUUUAUUGAUUCAGCUCUCAUUCUCCUGUAAUGCUGCUGCGGUAAUAUUAAAACUCAGUGACUGACAGUGCCGUCCCAUAGAAGUGAUUUAAAUAGCAGUACCAGGGAAGAAAGCAGGCUUUGCUUUUGCAACAAUUUUGCUCAAACUGGCCCUGAGGAUCUCCCUUGCAGGGAGGGAAUAGGCUGUGCACCUUUUCCACUUUGAAAUACAUCAUCUGUAUUUCUUCCAGCCCCGUGCUAUGCCUGUGAAGCCAGCAGGAUGCCUGCUGUUGGCACGGCUGCGUGCAGCCUGCAGGCUUUAAAAGCAAGUAUGAAUAUUUGGGUUGUAGAUGGGAACGGGUUAUUUGUGUAGGGUACAGAACUGAUGCUUGUUCAGAUGCAAACCCCAGACUAUUCUUCAUGUGAUCCACGAUACAAAACAAAGGAAAAGAGCAUUCCUGUGAAAGGGAAGGAAUUCAGCUAAUUAAUAGUCACAAAAUGUGUGCUGCUUACAGGUGGGAAUUUCAAAGGACCUUAUGAGGUUUGGAUUCACAGAGCCAGUCAGUGAAGUGGGAGCUGGGCAUGGGAGUCGCUCAAAGUGCCCAGAAGUCCUUGCCUGCCCAUGGAAAAUGGGAUGGAGAUUUUGUUACAUGCUGUGAACCUCCAGAGUCUGCAACACUGUGCUGAUGAGAGGCGUUUCUCAGUCUCUGCUGCCCAUGAGGCAUUUGGCUGGGGAAGCAGGGUAUUCACAGCACUCUGGCAUGGGUUUCUGCUCCCUGUGGGCAUGCACAAAUAAAGGAGAAUGCUAAAAAUGAAAUAAAACUUGAAAGUAGAUAUAUGGGAGCUCCAGAGGCUGCUGGAUAGUAACUGGUUUCUCUGUCAAGACAGGUUAAUCUGUUCUCAUAAGCAUCCCAGAACCAUAAAAAAGCCACGGCCCAGAGUCUGUUUCUGGACUGGGGAAAUCUUAAUGGAAACAGUCUCCUGCAGGAGUUCCCCAAGGUCUGGCAGAGACAAUAUUUUAUGUUGGGGUAGGUAUAAAUCUCCAAGAUGUUUGUGAUCCAAAACUUGGAAACAAAAGCCAGGGAAAGUUUGAUCAAAAUUGUCCCAGUUGAGAUGUGCUAACCAGAAUGAUUCACAGAAACUAAACUGUGCUUAAUGGGUACGUCUGGAGUGACCCAAAACUGUUCAGUGGCAAUUUGUGGAAGAGGACAGUGGCGGAGCCUUGGCAGAGGCUGGGUGCUAGGAGCAAAGCUGAAGGCCUUCUCCCUUGGCUCAGCCUGAUUUAAAAAGCAAAUCAAACCCACCCCUGAAAAAAACAAGCAUCUGCGGUCUCGUCCAAAACGAGCAUCUCUGCACCCAAGAGGGGAAGUGACACCCACUUUGACACUAAGUGGCCGUUUCAUUUGCUCUGCAAACUCUGUGCUUGCAGUUGAUAUCAGAUACUAAUUAAAAGAGUGAAAAAAAGGUGGCUCAGCCCUCGGCUGAGUGGCAUGGACAGCCCCUUGAGCUGCAGAGGCACAUGAGCAUCUUUGCUUCUAUGCAGGGUGGGUGGGAGCUAGCAGCGCUGCUAGCUCAGCCAGGAGCAGCAGGUGGAGGGGAGCAGAGCCCACGCCACCCUCUGUCACACCAGGGAAGUCUCUCACCCUGGGCCCAGCAAGGGAUGAGUGCCCCGUCCCAUCAUCGCUUCCUAAAGCGGAGGGCUGGUUUCUCUGAACUUGUUUUCUGUUGACUGAAGUCAGGCAGUGGUAUUGUUCAGGUGCGAUACUGAAUGAAUAUUGAGUGUGCCUCUAAAAUAAAGUCAUUAUUUAGGAGCUCAUUAAAGUACCGGCCUUGAAAAAAUUUCCUACUGCUAAUAUCCUCUUCCAUCACUGUGUCAGGGAUGAGAGCUGGUUUAGAGAAAGGGCUGUGUGCUCCACAGCCGCCUCCCUCCUCUUACCUGGGGGGCUGCUGGCACCAGGGCUGGGAUAAAACUUUUUUAAGCCUAGAGCUAAGAAAGCACCAGGUGUUAACACGAGCUGUAAAUUGCUAAGUAACUCUGGCAAAGUCCCUCAGCACCCUCAUUUCCAGAAAAGACCCUGAGGCUAUUUUCUCUCUGCUCCUUCCUUUAGCUAGCUGGGGUAUUGCUCCCUGCUGUGAAAGCACGCUUCUCCCUCUUGGUUUCCCAUCCCGCUUUCCCCUUUCUCUCCUCAUGCUCCUGAGGUUCACCUCUUGCUGUGCCUGCAGGAUUUGCAAUGGGAAGGAAGAGAGCAGCCAUUGCUGUUCCCACCCUUUGCCAUCCCAUGUGCUGGGAGGCGGCUGGAGCCCCAGGAGACACUGUGGACCCCUGUCCCAUGGGGACACCUCUGAGCUUGCAGCUUGGGGAGCGGCAUGGGGCUGCCCACUUUCAGUUGCUUGAAGACCAGUGGGCUAAGUGCGAUCCUGGUGAGCGGAAGGACGUAUGUGAACUCGUACACAAGUGGAAAAUGGGCAACGUUGAUGUGACUGACCUUCAGCAUUGAAGCCUGAUCAUUCCUGUCAUUUGAGAUGGCUGUGCAGGAAGAAAAGGUCAGUGGUGCACCUCUAAGCUGGAGAUGGUGAGAAAUCAGCUUUCUGCACAGCUUGCUUGGGCAAAUCCCCACCCGUGUGCAGAGGAGUGUGGCAUAUUUAUGUCUUGGACUUUUGGUGGUACUGGCAUGAGGUCCCAAAGGGGAAGGCAACUAGGUAAAGGAGUGGCUGUGGUGGAGUACGAACAUAGAUCAUUCAUUUAGAAAACAUCCUUUCCUAAUGGUAAUUUCUGGCUAAAAAGCAGACAAGGCCUAUGAACAGUAUCUUCCUUUUAUGUUCCUCCACACAGGCAAUGUGGAAAAAAAGGAGACUUAAACCUGCAUUGUCUACCUUACCCACAAUGCUCAUUGCCUCCAAUGGGAGUUUUGCUCAGGAAAUGCAAAACAGAGCUGGCAACUAUAUUUCCAUUUAUUCAAUAGUUCUGAGAUUGAAAACGAUAGACACUGGGCAAAAGAAAUAACAGGGGCAUCUCAUAUCCAUGUGUCGCUUCAUUAAACAUCUGAAAAUGGCAAUGAAAAAGCAGAGAUUGCAGAAUGAGAUUUCCAGACAGCAGGAUGAUAACAUAAAAGACUCUGUCCUCUGUUUGUACAAUACAUAUGUGGUCAGAAAAAUAAAGGCAGCAAACUAUCUUACUAUAUAAUAGACAAGGAUUUUCAAGGCUGUUAUUUUGGAUGCACGGGAAGUAGAAAACUGCUUUACACAAGAGUGUCACUUGUUAACUUUGGAUAUGUGAUAUGUGAAUGUAUAACUGAGAUAAAAAAUCAUGUGGUUUCAUC